rnacentral:rRNA from 1 species
AAAUCAAUAUAAACUGAUUUUUAAGUAAUAUUUAUUUAUUUAUUUUUGUUUUUAUUAUUAUAAUUUGUUAAAAAUAAUUAUAUAAUUUAAAUGUUUUAGUAAUUUUUAAUGAAAAAAUAAUAUUUAUAAUAGUUAAUUAUGUAUUGUGAAAGAAUAUUGAAAUAUUUUGAAAAAUUUUUAUAAAAAAAGAAAAUUUUUUUUAUUGUACCUUGUGUAUCAGGGUUUAUUAAAUAAUUAAUAUAAAUAUAUUAAUCUCGAUUUUAUAAGAGUUAAUAGUUUAUGAAAGUUAAUGUAUCAAAAUUAUUUUAAAUAAACUAUUAGAAAUGAAAUGUUAUUCGUUUAUAAAGGUAUCUAGUUUUUUUAGAAAUAAAUUUAAUUUACAAUUUUUUAAUUUUUUGUUUAUUUUUAAAAGUGAAAAAAUUAUUAAAUUGAAUAUUUUAAGGGAUAAGCUUUAAAAUAAAUUAUUAAAAAUCAAUAAUUAUUUUAUAAAAUGUAUGCUUAGAAUUAGCAAUCUAUUAAUUUGUUAUAAAUUAUUUUAUAUAGUUUGUAUUAUUUAUUUGUAUUUUAAAUAUAUUAUAAAAAUAUUUUUUUUAAUGUAAUUAUAGAAAGGAAUAAUGAUAAAAUUAGUAUAUUUUUAUGUUUAUAUAAUUAAUUAUGAUAAUUUUAUAUAAAGAAUUCGGCAAAUUUAUUAUACUCGCCUGUUUAACAAAAACAUGUCUUUUUGAAUUAUUUUUAAAGUCUAACCUGCCCACUGAAUUUAUUUUAAAUGGCCGCAGUAUUUUAACUGUGCAAAGGUAGCAUAAUCAUUUGUCUUUUAAUUGAAGGCUGGAAUGAACGGUUGGACGAAGUAUAANCUGUUUCAUAUAAAUUUAUGAUAGAAUUUUAUAUUUUAGUUAAAAAGCUAAAAUUUUAUUAAAAGACGAGAAGACCCUAUAAAUCUUUAUAUUUUAUAUUAUUUAGAUUUUAUUGAUAUAUUUUAUUUUUAUAUUAUAAAAUAUUUUGUUGGGGUGAUAUUAAAAUUUAAUUAACUUUUAAUUUUAUUUAAUCAUUAAUUUAUGAAUAACUGAUCCGUUAAUAACGAUUAUAAUAUUAAGUUACUUUAGGGAUAACAGCGUAAUUUUUUUGGAGAGUUCUUAUUGAUAAAAAAGUUUGCGACCUCGAUGUUGGAUUAAGAGAUAUUUUUAGGUGUAGCUGCUUAAAUAUAAAGUCUGUUCGACUUUU